rnacentral:rRNA from 1 species
AUUGAACGCUGGCGGCAGGCUUAACACAUGCAAGUCGAACGAGUGGCGGACGGGUGAGUAAUGUUUGGGAAUCUAGCUUAUGGAGGGGGAUAACUACGGGAAACUGUAGCUAAUACCGCGUACCAUAGGAUGAGCCCAAGUGGGAUUAGGUAGUUGGUGGGGUAAAGGCUCACCAAGGCGACGAUCUCUAGCUGGUCUGAGAGGAUGACCGGCGACACUGGGAAUGAGACACGGCCCAGACUCCUACGGGAGGCAGCAGUGGGGAAUAUUGCGCAAUGGGGGCAACCUGAUGCAGCCAUGCCGCGUGUAUGAAGAAGGCCUUCGGGUUGUAAAGUACUUUCGGUAGCGAGGCGUUACCUGCAGAAGAAGCACCGGCUAACUCCGUGCCAGCAGCCGCGGUAAUAC